GUGAAAGAAUGAAGCACAUGUACUAAAAUUGGAACAGUACAGAGAUUAACAUGCUCCCUGCUCUAGGAUGAUAUGCAGAUUUGUGAUGUGUUUGAUAUUUAA